rnacentral:misc_RNA from 1 species
UCACUGCUGAUACAUUUAGCGUAAGUGAGGGCUCUGAGGAGGGGAAUGAUGAAGAUGGGGAUGAUGGGCAACUGGAGUCUGCAAUGGGGGAAACAGGAGCUGACAGUAAAGUCAUUGAUGAGAAGCUUUGGGAUAAGGAGGAAGAUGAAAACCCUAAUAACACAAAUGAAAAGUAUGAAUCUGGGCCACCAGUUAGGGACAGGGAUGCAAGCAUUAGGGAACUGAGAUCCAAGGAGGAUUCUGCUGCUGCUGAUAGCGAUGAUGAAGAACCUGGGGAGCUUAACUCUGAGGAGCUUGAUAAUCAAAUUGAUGAGGUUGGAAACCAAGAUGAUCUUGGUGAUAAAGUAGACAGCAAGGAUGAUGUCCAGUUGGAUCAGCAAGUGAUUCUUCC